rnacentral:rRNA from 2 species
AGUGUUUAAAGCAAGCUAACGCUUGAAUACAUUAGCAUGGAAUAAUGAAAUAGGACGUUCGAUCCUAUUUUGUUGGUUUCUAGGAUUGACGUAAUGAUUAAUAGGGAUAGUUGGGGGCAUUAGUAUUCAAUUGUCAGAGGUGAAAUUCUUGGAUUUAUUGAAGACGAACUACUGCGAAAGCAUUCGCCAAGGAUGUUUUCAUUAAUCAGUGAACGAAAGUUAGGGGAUCGAAGACGAUCAGAUACCGUCGUAGUCUUAACCAUAAACUAUGCCGACUAGGGAUCGGACGGUGGUUUUUUAUGCCCCGUUCGGCGCCUUACGGGAAAC